rnacentral:rRNA from 1 species
UUGACCUCGGAUCAGGUAGGGAUACCCGCUGAACUUAAGCAUAUCAAUAAGCGGGGGAAAAGAAACCAACAGGGAUUGCCUCAGUAACGGCGAGUGAAGCGGCAACAGCUCAAAUUUGAAAUCUGA